UUGUUCGGGCCCAAGCAACGGAGCUUGGCACCGACUAUCCCGGGAUGGUUUAUUCCCAGCCGUCACGUCGGAGAAUGCUGCUGUAACUUGUUCAAACGGUCCGGCGGGUCUCGUGGAAAUGCUUUCGUUCUCUUUCGACUUUCUAUUCCACCCAGUUGUUGUAUUUUCUUCGCUAAUGAUUAGACAACAUCUGCGUCACUAACCGAAGCUGCUACCGGAAGUUACAUCACCUCGAUUGACCAUGCUAGCCAUUGACAGACAGGCUGCCCAAUUACGUCACCGGCAAGCGAGCUGCCGCCGCCAGUUCCAGUACUCCAGACUCCAACUGAGUGAUCCAUUUCUGCUGGUUUGGCAACCCAGUUACGGGGUACGUAACAAAGGACAAGCCAAGACAGAACAUACAAGCCUUCAACUGGUGUACGAGCUUGAGACAUAAUGCUUUGGAAAGGAUAUUAAAGCCCCAAAGGAUAGUGAAGAGGAUAUAUCAAGAAGAUGCCAGUGAAUGAGAACAGAAGAUGUGGUGAUAUCACAUGCAAUGAUGUGCCAGUACAUGAUUGGACAGCACUGAGCAUGCGCGGGGUUUUGCCAGAAUGUUUCAGCAUCU